rnacentral:rRNA from 1 species
AUUGAACGCUGGCGGCAUGCCUUACACAUGCAAGUCGAACGGUAACAGGUCUUCGGAUGCUGACGAGUGGCGAACGGGUGAGUAAUGCAUCGGAACGUGCCCAGUAGUGGGGGAUAGCCCGGCGAAAACCGGAUUAAUACCGCAUACGACCUGAGGGUGAAAGGGGGGGAUCGCAAGACCUCUCGCUAUUGGAGCGGCCGAUGUCAGAUUAGCUAGUUGGUGGGGUAAAGGCCUACCAAGGCAACGAUCUGUAGUUGGUCUGAGAGGACGACCAGCCACACUGGGACUGAGACACGGCCCAGACUCCUACGGGAGGCAGCAGUGGGGAAUUUUGGACAAUGGGCGCAAGCCUGAUCCAGCAAUGCCGCGUGCAGGAAGAAGGCCUUCGGGUUGUAAACUGCUUUUGUCAGGGAAGAAAUCUUCUGGGUUAAUACCUCGGGAGGAUGACGGUACCUGAAGAAUAAGCACCGGCUAACUACGUGCCAGCAGCCGCGGUAA